CACGUAGGGUGCGAGCGUUGUCCGGAAUUAUUGGGCGUAAAGAGCUCGUAGGCGGUGUGUCGCGUCGGCCGUGAAAACCUGCAGCUUAACUGUGGGCUUGCGGUCGAUACGGGCAUCACUGGAGUUCGGCAGGGGAGACUGGAAUUCCUGGUGUAGCGGUGGAAUGCGCAGAUAUCAGGAGGGAACACCGGUGGGCGAAGGGCGGGGU
rnacentral:rRNA from 1 species